UACCAGACUCCCACGGGAGGCAGCAGUGGGGAAUAUUGCACAAUGGGGGAAACCCUGAUGCAGCGACGCCGCGUGAGCGAUGAAGUAUUUCGGUAUGUAAAGCUCUAUCAGCAGGGAAGAAGAUGACGGUACCUGACUAAGAAGCCCCGGCUAACUACGUGCCAGCAGCCGCGGUAAUACGUAGGGGGCAAGCGUUAUCCGGAUUUACUGGGUGUAAAGGGGGCGCAGACGGCAGCGCAAGCCAGGAGUGAAAGCCCGGGGCCCAACCCCGGGACUGCUCUUGGAACUGCGCGGCUGGAGUGCAGGAGGGGCAGGCGGAAUUCCUGGUGUAGCGGUGAAAUGCGUAGAUAUCAGGAGGAACACCGGCGGCGAAGGCGGCCUGCUGGACCGUGACUGACGUUGAGGCUCGAGAGCGUGGGGAGCAAACAGGAUUAGAUACCCUUGUA
rnacentral:rRNA from 1 species